UCACCAGAAAUAGCUCAGUCGGUAAAGCAUGAGACUCUUAAUCUCAGGGUUGUGGGUUCGAGCCCCACAUUGUGCAAAA